rnacentral:rRNA from 1 species
GAUGAACGCUAGCGACAGGCCUAACACAUGCAAGUCGAGGGGCAGCACAAGGUAGCAAUACUGAGGUGGCGACCGGCGCACGGGUGAGUAACGCGUAUGCAACCUGCCUGUAACAGGGGAAUAGCCUCUUGAAAGAGAGAUUAAUGCCGCAUAAUACGAGAUUCGGGCAUCCGGAUUUAGUUAAACAUUUAUGGGUUACAGAUGGGCAUGCGUUUCAUUAGGUAGUUGGUGAGGUAACGGCUCACCAAGCCGACGAUGAAUAGGGGUUCUGAGAGGAAGGUCCCCCACACUGGUACUGAGACACGGACCAGACUCCUACGGGAGGCAGCAGUGAGGAAUAUUGGUCAAUGGACGCAAGUCUGAACCAGCCAAGUCGCGUGAAGGAUGAAGGUAUUAUGUAUUGUAAACUUCUUUUGUCAGGGAAUAAUGGGUGUCACGUGUGACGCAGAGGAAUGUACCUGACGAAUAAGCAUCGGCUAACUCCGUGCCAGCAGCCGCGGUAAUACGGAGGAUGCGAGCGUUAUCCGGAUUUAUUGGGUUUAAAGGGUGCGUAGGCGGUUUGUUAAGUCAGUGGUGAAAGUUUGCGGCUCAACCGUAAAAUUGCCAUUGAAACUGGCGAACUUGAGUACAGUAGAGGUAGGCGGAAUUCGUGGUGUAGCGGUGAAAUGCUUAGAUAUCACGAAGAACUCCNAUUGC